rnacentral:lncRNA from 1 species
CUUGGAUCUUCAUCGCCCCAAGAUCAGCAUCAAGUGCACGUAGACCUGCGUGGAACACCAUGUUUGCUCCUGCACUGCCCCCCAUCAAAAAGCACUUGGAAAAAUCAGCGUACUCUCUCAACCACGGCUCACCGCCGUCGAUCUCCGCAGCCGCCUGGCUCCGGACCCACAUGAUGGCUUCGGCGGCGUCUUCGUAGGCAGCCGGGAGACGGUGCUCCGGCGCGAGACGGUACUCGAGGGACAGGACCAGAGCUGGAAGCUUAGCUGCCAUGGAGUUGCAAGUUUCAUGGAAAGGCGGAGUAGAGACGCUGGCGACAACGAACCCACCUCCAUGAAAGUACAAGAUGACUGGAAGCUUGGUGUUUGGAGGAAGAAGACGAGGCCGGAAGAGGCGGAGAAAGGUGUUGUUGGCGGGGUUGAGAGGCACAUCUUUGGAAAAAGCCACGGCGGAGUCGGAGGCGGCGGUUUCAUCAGUAGCAGCUAGGGAGAGAUGUGAGCUACGGCGAGUGAAAGAGCCAUCUGGGUUAGGGACGAGGCCGAUGGAGUUAUAAGCGUCCAUGGAGGAUGGUGGUGGCGCAGAGUCUGCUAUGGCUAUUUGAGUGGUGAGAGUUUGUUUUGAAGAAGAUAUACAAAGGAGUCUGGCUGGGUAGCCGUAUAGGAUAUCAAUGGAGCUAUGGUUGGUGUAUAAUUUAUAUAAGGUGAGGGGAUUUUUGGUAAGAGUACAGUAAUUUUAUAAAAUAAUUCUUAAAUUAUCCUAAAAAAAAUAAUUUCAUAUAUACGAUAGUUUUUAUAAGUGAUAUUUCUUUUCUUUAUCCAGUUGGAAACAGUAUUUUAAAAAGACGAUUUCCCAAAAAAAAAAAAAAAAAAGCAAUUAAAUAGAAAUAGUCUAUUUUAAAAAAUAAUAAUAAUUGAAAAUCGUAUCUUGAUGCAGCUAUUUCCCUGCUUUUUCGGUACCAAACUUACUCUUCGGUCUAAAAUCAUCUCAUUGUUUAACAUCAUAACAUCAGGACUUUUGUUCAAAGCUAAUCACACUCUAAAGACUCACUCCUUUCUUUCCAUUGUCUACACUUCAUACUUCUGUACUCUCUGUUUAGCUCAUUUCCUUCCAUCCACCCUCAAUCUUCUCCACACCAAUCUCAUCUUCUCAACCUCUAUAGUUUAUAUAUUCCAUUUUUCCACAUUUCUUGAUUUUCUCAAUCAAUAUAGUCUCAAAAAAAAAAAAAAAAUUCCACCAAUUUGCUAAUUUUUUUUGUGGAAUUUGUAAGACGAUUUCCAAUUAUAUAUAUUUUUUUAAAAUAGACAAUUUUCACUAAAUUUCUUUUUUUAGGAAAUCAUCUCUUUAAGAGACGAUUUCUAAUUUGCUUAAUUUUCUUUUUUAAAUCAUCUUUUCAACAAACAAUUUUUGAAUGGUAUAUAUACAUUUUGUAAAGAUGAUUUUCAACUUGAUAAAAAAGAUAAAUAUCAUUCCUUUUUAUUUGAUAAAAAUUAUCGUAGAUUUAAAAUUAUUUUUUUUAUUAUGGUAAUUUAAAAUUUAUUUUUUAAAAAUUCGAUAAUCUUAUAAAAAAUACUAAGUAGAUGAGUGAGCAAAUUCUAGUUUUGGGAUCGAUGGAUCGAUCGAGAGCAGAGUUUUUAUCAGAAUUCUUUAGGUUGAAUACUUGACCAGUUCUGGCGGCUAUUCGAUUGAAAUCAAUAAUCUUGCUGUGCAAGUAAUGAUUUUGUUGCAUGUUAUCAAAUCUUAAUUGUACUCUUUUGAAUAGUACAAAAAGAAUCUUCCAUAUGGGCGGCUUCUGACAGUCAACAAAUAUAGUUUCUAAUGGCUUGCAAAACUUAAGGGUAUGUUUGGGUCACGGAAAAUAAUAAGGAAAGAAAAAAAAUACAAAAAAAAAAUGAUUUUUUCAUAUUUGAUUGUCCUAUGAAAAAUAUCAAAGAAAAUAAAAUAUAAUUAAAACUAAUUAAAAACUUAUAUAUUUUUAAAUUAUUUAAUCUUUAUAUUGAUGAGUUAAAAUAAAUAAAAUGAGUUUGAAGUAACAAAAAGAAAUAAUUUAUCGAUUUUUAAUCUAUUUUUUAUUUUUCUUCAUUUUUUUCUUUCCUUCUACUUUUCUUUUGUAUUUUCUUUCCCUUGCAUUUUCCCUCAAAUUUUCUGGGAACCAAACAUAGCCUAAGGAAAAUUCUAGGGUACCUCAUUCGGUACCGUACCGAAAAGUUUUUAAGCCAUUGGAUGUCCAAGAUUACAUCUUGGCCAUCCAUUUUAAAUUUGAAAAAAAAUAAAAAAAAAAUCCACUUAACCGAUUAAGGGAAGAAGGAAGAACUGGUUGUGGCCUUCCACUCUCUUCUCCUUUAAUUUCAUCUUCCCCCAUUAUCAACAAUUAUGGGUUUAAAUAAAAUAAAUAUGAGAUAAAUAUUGAUACAAAAAUAGAAUUGAAAAAAAAAAUUGAAAUUGAUAUAAAAUUUGAAAACAUAUUUAUUAACAAAAAAAAUUCAUCAUAUAUUAUAGAUACAUUAUUUCAUUUUUAACAAAUUAUUAAUCAUUUUAAAUUCGACAUGAAAAUGAACAUAGUAAUAUUUCAAUAUAAAAUGAGUAUUUAUAUUAAAAUUCAACAUUUUGAUGAUUAUAUGUAAAGAUUAGGUAAUUAGAUUGCCCUAAUAUUUUUCACUCUCCAAAUUUUACAUUUUUGAAUUUAAGGUUUUUAAAUUAAAAUUACAAUAAAAUAAAUUAGUAAUAAUCUUUUGAGUUACUAAUGAUAGUAUUUUCGAAAAUAAAUUUGUAAUUUCAAUUUUUUUAAAAAAAAAAUUGACAUGAAAAAAUUGAUAAAGGUACCAAACAUGUAUUUAUCACAUUUUUUCGUACCAUUCUUAUAUUUUUUGUAUCCUAAAUUAUUUUUAUUUUUUAAAUUUCAGAUUUACUUUUUAACUUGAAAUGACAAUAAAAUAGUUUAAUAAUAUUUUUUUGAGUUAUUAUUGUUGAGAUAUUAGGAAUGCUUUCCUUGUAUCAUUAUUUCCUUAUAUCAUUUAGUGUUGAGAUAUUAGGAAUGUUUACAUAUUAGGAAAGUUAAGAUAUUAUGAAUAUUGAGAUAUUAUGAAUAUUGAGAUAUUAGGAAAGUUGAGAUAUUAGGAUAUUAGUUGUUAUUUCCUUAUAUUAUUCUUUCCUUGUAUCAUCCUUUCCCAUUCUUAGAAUGGUGAUUACCCUCUAUAUAUACUCUGUAUAUGAAUGAAAGAAAGUAUGAAUGAAAAACUACCAUUCAUCAAUUUGAAGAUGGUAUCAGAGUCAGGGAACUGAAAUCCUGGAUAUUUUGUUGUAAGGCCAACAAUCGCCCCUCCUUUGAGAAAGAAGAAAAAAAAAGAGUGAAAAAAGUACUAUUGUUUUUCAAUCUGAAGGUACUUUCAAUCUAGAAAUUAUUUUGACUGAAUCAAACUAUGACGUUUGGUCACAACUCGUGGAGAUGCAUAUUGCCGAACGGGAAAAACUUUCCUACAUCCAAGGUAAGACAAAUCUACCAAAAGAGUCAGAAGAUGGAUAUGAAAAAUGGUAUGCUGAGAAUCAAAAGGUGAAGAGAUGGUUGUUAAUGUCCAUGAGUCCAGAAAUUAUGAAGCGUUACUUACACUUACCCACCACUCAAGAAAUUUGGAGUGCAUUAUCAAAGGCCUUCUAUGAUGGAAGUGAUGAAUUACAAGUUUUCACUUUGAAUCAAAAAGCCUUCACUACCAAACAAAACGGCAGGUCUCUUUCUGAAUAUUAUGGAGAGUUAACUGAACUUUUUUGCGAAUUGGAUCAUCGGGAUAAGGUAGUUAUGAAAGACCCUGAAGACAUUGCAACAUACCGGAAAUCCAUUGAACGACAACGGGUGCACAUCUUUCUUGCUGGAUUGGGUGGUGACUUUGAGCAAGUUCGAGGAGAGAUUCUACGCAAAGAUCCUCUUCCCGAUUUGGAAGAAUGCUAUGCACUGAUUCGACGAGAGGCAAUACGUCACGCUAGUAUGAAAGCAGAAUCUGACAACCCUGACACCUCAGCUAUGGUAGUUCGACAACAAUCAACCCGAAAUUGGCAGGACCAAUCCAAGACCAACCAUCCUAAGACAAACCCUAAUAUUGAUAAGUCAACCUUCAAAUGCACUCACUGCAAUAAGACUAGUCAUACCAAGAGUCGUUGCUUUGAAAUUGUGGGAUAUCUAGACUGGUGGGAUCACAAUCGUGAUCAACGAAAGAAGGAUUCCAAGAAAACCUCGACUGCAGCUAUUGCCAAAAUAAAAACAGAGGCUAAUGUUGAUGAGAAAGCCUUUGCAUUGGUAGCCACUACAGAUCAUGGUGGUAAGUUUUUAAAUACUUCUACACCUGUUAUUAAUAAUGAAUGGAUAAUUGAUUCUGGUGCUACAGAUCAUAUGACUUUAGAUUCUAGACAGGUCUCACCCCUUAAACCUUCCUCACAAAAAUUUGUUUCCACAGCCAAUGGUAACACAACCCCAGUCAUUGGGGAAGGAUCCUUAACUCUUACUGAUACUUUGAAUUUGGAUUCUAUUUUAGUUGCUCCAUCCUUAAAUUACAAUCUUUUGUCAGUUUCUCAAAUCACUGCAGUUUUAUCUGAUAUUGUCAUUUUUUGGCCUGAAUUUUUUGUUUUUAAGGACAUCCAAACAAGACAGACGAUUAGUUUUGGUAUUAAGCGAGGAAAACUCUAUUAUUUGGACUUGUAGUCAAAGGAUUCAAAUAAGUUGCAACAAGCCUUGAUGGCAGAUGGAUCUGAGGGGGAGAAGAAAAAGUCUGAAAUUUGGUUGUGGCAUCGACGUCUGGGAUAUGCUUCCUUUGGUUAUUUAAAAAAAUUAUUUCCUAGUUUGUUUGCAAAGAGUGAUAUUUUUGGUUUCCGUUGUGAUAUUUGUGAAUUGGCUAAAAGCCAUCGUGCUUCCUUUCCAUUAAUUUUGAAUAAAAGUCCGUCUCCUUUUAUGGUUAUACAUUCUGAUGUUUGGGGCCCAUCCAAAGUCCCAACAUUGAGCGGUUCGCGUUGGUUUGUUACUUUUAUUGAUGAUUGUACCAGAAUGACAUGGUUAUGCUUGAUGAAAACCAAAGAUGAAGUGAACUUGUUGUUUCAAAAUUUUCAUAAAAUGAUUGAAACUCAAUACAAUGCAAAGGUUCAGGUUCUGCGUAGUGAUAAUGGUGGAGAAUGUCAAAGUUCUGAUCUUCAAAAGUAUUUGGAAGGACAUGACAUCAUUCAUCAAACUACUUGUUCCAAUACACCCCAGCAAAAUGGAGUCGUUGAACGAAAAAAUCGGCACUUGUUAGAGGUUGUUCGUGCUUCCUUGAUAGCAGCAAAAACACUGAUAUCUUAUUGGGGAGAAGCAAUCACAUCUGCCGUAUACUUGAUCAAUCGGGUAUCUUCUAGCUCAAUUAACUUUCAAACACCUCUCCAAGCUCUUAUUAAUGUCGUAGUUGCCCCAACCGUCCCAAAUCUACCUCCUCAUGUUUUUGGUUGCGUGGCAUUUGUGCAUCUACACAAGCACCAACGCACUAAGUUAACUUCUCAUGCAUUGCAAUGUGUGUUUGUUGGAUAUGCAUUGCACAAAAAGGGAUAUCGAUGUUACCAUCCUCCAACUCGACAAAUGUAUAUUACAAUGGAUGUGGUGUUUCAUGAAGAUUCGAUGUAUUUUUCAUCUGAGUCUGAACUUCAGGGGGAAUACCAUAAGGAAAUUCAGACUCUUGAUUAUGAUUAUCAUAUCUCUAAGGAAGAUGAAUCUGGACAAUCUGAACUAGUGAACCAGGAAGUGGGUGAGUUGGAUAUGAGUGGUUAACAAUUUGGGUCCGAAGAUGUCUUCACUGAAAUACCAAACCAAUCGUCGUCUGUUGAGGGUGUUCUUAAUUAGGAACCCGAUCCAUUCAUGAAACGGUUACCACAUCGUCAUAAUAGAGGUAUUCCUAAACCCACAUAUGAACCUGAUUUGUCUACCAAAGUCAAAUAUCCCAUGAGCAACUAUGUGUCUAACCAUCGUUUGUCUGAAUCAAAUAAGUCAUUUGUAAAUCAAUUAUCUACUGUAGUUAUUCCUAACAGUGUGCAGGAAGCCUUAGUUGAUCCAAGGUGGAAAGCAAGAUUGGUUAGCUGAUAUCCUCACCAAAGUUGUCUCAAGUCAAGUAUUCUCAAAAUUUUUUAGACAAGUUGGGCAUGUGUGACAUCUAUGCACCAACUUGAGGGGGAGUGUUGAGAUAUUAGGAAUGCUUUCCUUAUAUCAUUAUUUCCUUAUAUCAUUUAGUGUUGAUAUAUUAGGAAUGUUUAGAUAUUAGGAAAGUUAAGAUAUUAUGAAUAUUGAGAUAUUAGGAAUAUUGAGAUAGGAAUGUUUAGAUAUUAGGAAAGUUAAGAUAUUAUGAAUAUUGAGAUUUUAGGAAUAUUGAGAUAUUAGGAAAGUUGAGAUAUUAGGAUAUUAGUUGUUAUUUCCUUAUAUUAUUCUUUCCUUGUAUCAUCAUUUCCCAUUCUUAGAAUGGUGAUUACCCUCUAUAUAUACUCUGUAUAUGAACGAAAGAAAGUAUGAAUGAAAAACUACCAUUCAUCAAUUUGAAGAAUUAUUGAUAGAAUUGUUAAAAAAUAAGAAUGAAAAAAAAAUUUAAAUAUGGAAAUGAUGUAAAUUAUCUUUAAAAAAUUAGAAAAUUAAAACAGUAAAAAAAUUGGGAAGAAUACAAAGAAUGCAAGGAAAAGUAUGAAGAAUAUAAGAAAUCCUGACAUUUUUCGUAUCAUUCCUCAUGAUAAUAUUGUUUAUUGAUAGUAAUUAACCUUAGUGAUACUAAUUAAGCUUAGAAAUGAUGAAAAUUGUUUUAAAAAAAAAAUUAAAAUACUAAGUAAUUGUAAAGGGUAUGUGAGCAAAAUUUAAAAACUUUUUGAAUUUUUCAAUUUUUUGCCACUUAGAAAUACAAAUAAUAUUGUAUAUUGAUACUACUCAAGCUUAGAAAUGAUGAAAAUUAUUCUCAAAUUGUAGAAGGUACGAAGAAUUCCCUCACAUUCUUUAUACCUUUCGUCACAUUUUCUUUACUCUAAAAAAUUUUACAAUUUUUUUUUUAAAUUUUUCCACAUGGACGAAAUUUUACAAUUUUUCGAAUUUCCACUUAAAAAUACAAUAAUAUUGUUUAUUGAUACUAAUUAAACUUAGAAAUGAUGGAAAUUAUCCUUAAAAAAAUAAAUAUUAAAAUAUUAAAAUUUGGAGAGUACAAAGAAUGUGAGGAAGGGUACAAAGAAUGUGAGGAAUCUUCAUAUUCCUCAUACACUACUUCUUCACAUUAUUUGUACCUUUAGAAUUUUACGAUUUUUUGGAUUUUUUUUUAAAAAAAUCUACUUGAAAAUACAAUAAUAUUGUUUAUUUAUAUUAAUUAAGUUUAGAAAUUAUGGAAAUUAUUCUAUAAAAAAAUUAAAAUGUUAAAACACUAAGUAAUUAUAAAAUGUACAAAAAAUGUAAGGUUACGAAGAAUAUGAGUAAGGGUAUAAAGAAUGUGAAGAAGGACAUGAAGAAUAUGAGAAAUUCUUAUAUUCUUCGUACCCUUCCUUGCAUUCUUCGUACCUUGAAAAUUUGACAAAUUUUCAUAUUUUUUUAAUUUUGUUUUUACUUUGAAAUAUAAUAAUAUUGUUUAUUGAUACUAAUUAAGCUUAGAAAUGAUGGAAAUUAUACUUAAAAAAAUAAAAAAUUAAAAUGUUAAAAAAUUGGAGAGAGUAUAAAGAAUGUGAGGAAGGGUACGAAAAAUGGAAAUUCCUCACAUUCUUCAUACCCUUUAAAUUUUACAAUUUUUUUGAAUUUUUCAAAUUGUUUUUCAACUUGAUGGAAUUUUUCAUUAUUUUGUAGUAAAAGCAGUAAAAAUUAUUUUUUAUUGUCAAAUUGAAAUUUUAUAAUAAAUUCUUUUGAUAGAAUAAGUGCAAAUAAUUUUCUUGAAAAUAAAAAUUGAAUACAAAUAAAAUUGAAUAACUCAUUUGUUGGAAAUAAAUUGACUCUUUUGUAAAUAAAUAAAUUGAAAUCAUUAAUUUGAAAUUGUUUUUAAUAAACUCUUUUGAAAUUUCUUGAAAAAAUAAUUUUUGAAAUAUUUUUUAAUCAGAUCAAUAAAUUAAUUACAUAAUUCUCAUAUCAUUUAUCUUGUAUAUUCUUAUAAUUUGAUUUUAUCAUCAUUUUUGUAUAUAUUGAUUUGUGUCUUUAAUCUUGGUACCAUUGAUUAAUUAAUUAAUUGUUACAGUUCCCUCAAUUCAUUUAGUAAAGAUUGUAGAUAUACAAACUUUAAGGGAUACGACGGUUCAUCGUUGUAUUUUCCUGAUAAGUAAUCUGACCUCGAUAAGUAAAUUCAAAAUCGGUUUUUGUAAAUGUCUUUUCCAAAUAGAGUCACACAUGGUUUUUUUUUUUUUCUUAUUUUGUUUUCCCUUGAAAAAAAAAGACCAAAAUAAAUUACUACUCUAAGUCUUUUCUAAAAUUCAAAUUUUUACCAAUAAAAAGCAAGUCUCGUCGUUUGAGUGAGAACACACAUAAAAAAUGUGAAUCCAUAAUAUGAAUAUUGAAAUUUUAUAAUUUUAAGAAUCUUUUUCACUUAGAAAUUCAAUAAUAUUGUUUAUUAUACUAAUUAAGCUUUGAAAUGAUGAAGAUUAUCCUUAAAAAAAAAAAAAACAUUAAAAUAUUAAAAAAAUCUUUUUCCAAUUUUAAGAUUUUUUUUUCUUAAAAAUAUAACAAUAUUGGUUAUCCAUACUAAUUACCCAAAUGAUGAAAAAUAUCCUUCAAAAAUUUUUAAAAAUUGAUACACUAAAAAAUUGGAGGAGGCUCAAAUUAUGCUUAGAAUUAAUUGAAAUCAUGCAAUUUCUUUUUUAGCUUCAAUUAUCCAUUGUAUUGUUUUUCCUAGUUUCAAUAUUUCAUCCAAUCUUGUCCCAAAAAAAAAAAAAAAAAAAUCAAAUUUACAAUAAAAAUUUAAUAAUAUAAUUUUCAAUUACUAAUUAACAAUAAAUACUUAUUUUAAUUUAUUUUAAAAAAUUAUGACUCCAAAUAGUUAUGAUAUUCUUUAAAAAGGCUAAUUACACUCACAUUUUUCCUACCUUCUAAUUUUUAAAAUUUUAAAAUUUUGUUUGUUACUUCUAAGAGUCAUCCUUAGAAAUGAUGGAAGUUAGGCACAAAAAAAAUUGAAAUUAAAAACAUAGAAAAAUUUCCUAGCAUUUUUGUACUAUUCCCGCAUUUUGGUACUCUCCAAAAUUCUCAAAUUUUUUAUUUAAAGAUUUUUUUUCCACUUCCAAAAAAUGCUUUCAAUAUUUAAUCCAAUCUUCUCCACACACACACACACACAAAAUAAUAAUAAAAAUAAUAUUACAAUUUCUAAUUUAUAAUUGUAUUAUUACUUGUAAUUUAUUUAUUUUUUUUAUGGAGAAGAUUGGAUUAAAUAUUGAAGGCAUUUUUUGGAAGUGGAAAAAAAUUCUUAAAAUAAAAAAAUUGAGAAUUUUGGAGAGUAACAAAAAUGUGAGAAUGGUACAAAAAUGUGAGGAAAUUUUUCUGUAUUUUUAAUAUAGAACUGUUUUGUGCCUAGCUUCCAUCAUUUCUAAAAAUGAUUAGUAUGCCUAAGCAAUAUUGAUGCGAUUAGAAGUGGCAAAAAUUAAUUAAUUAAUUAAAAAAUUAGAAAAAAUAGAGGAUACAAAAAUGUGAGUGUGAUUAGUCUUUUUAAAUAAUAUUAUAACUAUUUGGAAUUGAUUUUUUUUAAAUAAAUUAAAAUAAAUCUUGAAAUAAGUAUUUAUUGUUAAUUACUAAUUGAAAAUUGUAUUAUUCAUUUUUUAUUGUAAAUUUGAUUUGAUUUUAUUAUUUUUUUUGGGGGGGGGGGGGGGGGGGGGGGGGGNNNNNNNNNNNNNNNNNNNNNNNNNNNNNNNNNNNNNNNNNNNNNNNNNNNNNNNNNNNNNNNNNNNNNNNNNNNNNNNNNNNNNNNNNNNNNNNNNNNNGGGGGGGGGGGGGGGGGGGGGGGGAAAGAUUAGAUGAAAUAUUGAAAGUAUGAAAACAAUGCAAUGGUUAAUUGAAGUGGAAAAAGAAAUUGCUUGAUUUCAAUUAAUUCUAAGUGUAAAUUGAGACCUUUCCAAAUUUUCAGUGUAUCAAUUUUUUAAUUUUUUUGGAGAAUAUUUUUCAUCAUUUCUAAGCUUAAUUAGUAUAAAUAAAUAUUAUUACAUUUUCAAGCAAAAAAAGUCUUAAAAUUGGAAAAAGAUUUUUUAAUGUUUUAAUUUUUAAAUUUUUUAAGGAUAAUUUUCAUCAUUUGUAAGCUUAAUUUCAAAGUGAAAAAGAUUCUUAAAAUUAUAAAUUUCAAUCCUCAUAUUCUUCGUAUAUUCUAGAAUUACUUAGUGUUUAAAGUUUUUAAUUUUUUAAGGAUAAUUUUCAUCAUUUUUAAGCUUAAUUAACAUGGAUAAACAAUAUUAUUGCAUUUCUAAAUGAAAAAAAAAAUUAAAAUUGGAAAAAAAAAAUGUAAAAAUUCAAGGGUAUGAAGAAUGUGGAAGAUGGUAAAAAUAAUGUGAGGAGGGUACAACUUUUAUAAUUUUUUAAAUUUUAAGAAUUUUUUUUCCACUUGGAAAUACAAUAAUAUUGUUUAUUGAUAUUAAUUAUGCCUAGAAAUGAUAGAAAUUAUUCUAAGAAAAAUUAAAAAUUAAAACACGAAAAAAUUUGAGAAGGUUCUCACAUUCUCUAUACCCUUCCUCAUAUUCUUCAUGCCCUUUCCAAUUUUGUUUUAAUUUUUUUUUAGGAUAAGUUACAUCAUUUUUAAGCUUAAUUAACAUCGAUAAACAAUAUUAUUGUAUUUCUAAGUGGAACAAAAAUUCAAAAAGAUUCAAAAAAUUGUAAAAUUCCCAGGGUACGAAGAAUGUGAGGAAGGGUAUGAAGAAUGUGAGGAUUUCUCACAUUUCUAUACCAUUUCAAAUUUUUUAGUGUUUUAAUUUUUAAAUUUUAAUUUUUUUAAAAAAAUAAUUUUCAUCAUUUCUAAGCUUAAUUAGUAUUGAUAAACAAUAUUAUUGUAUUUUUAAGUAAAAAAAAAAUUCGAAAAAUUUGAAAAAUUGUAAAAUUUCGAGGGUACAAUCCUUAUAUUCUUCAUACCAUCUCCAAUUUUUUAAUGUUUUAAUUUUCAAUUUUUUUAAGGAUAAUUUACAUCAUUUCUAAACUUAAUUAAUAUCAUUAAACAAUAUCAUUGUAUUUCUAAGUGGACAAAAAUUAGAAAAAAUGUAAAAUUUCGAUAGUAUAAGAAAUGUGAGGAAGGGUACGAAGAAUGCAAAGAUUUUUCAUAUUCUUCGUACCAUUUGUCACAUUCUUUGUACCAUCUCAAAAUUUUUAGUAUUUAAAAUUUUAAAAUUUUUAAAGAUAAUUUCCAUAAUUUUUAAACUUAAUUAGUAUUAAUAAAUAAUAUUAUUGUAUUUCUAAGUGGAAAAAAUUUCAAAAAAUUGUAAAAUUUCGAGGGUAUAAACAAUGUGAGGAUUAAUUAGUAAAUCAUUUUCUAUACAUUUAUUAACGUUGAAUAUUUCUUGAUUGACUUCUUCCUAUGCCCAAGGUUGUUUGUCUUAAUUUGAUGGUCAAUCUUUGCCAUCAAAUUAAAAACACAUUUCAGUAGAAUUGUCUAAUAUCACUUUAAGUGGAAAAAAAGAACAAAAAUGAAUUCAUGAAUGAUUUAUCUUUUCUAAUAAUAUGUUUCGAGGUUGUUUAGAUAAUUGAGAUCUUAUUUUAGGUUAUAUUUGAGUUAAGAACAUAGUAUUAUACCUAUUUUAUUACACUAUAGAGUUCAAAUUGAAGUAAGUGUUGCGAUUUGAUUGAGCGUUUUUAUAAUUUAUAGAUUUCACAAGAUGGGUAAGGAAAAAAAUAAUCAAAUCAUGAAAAAUGUGACUAAGAUAUAAAAAAGUUAUUGAAGUAUAAAUAAUAGAAAUAAAAAAUCAAUCAUGAUUUUAGAAGGAGUUGCUUAGGUAAUUGAAAUAAUUGAGAUAUUAUCAUAAGUUUGAUUCCAUUAAUUUUAGCAUUUUAUGCUACAUAUUUUUGUGUACAUGAUUUCACAUCAUAUACUAGAGUAUGGUAUCAUAUGGUUAUAUGGGCCCUGGUCCGUCCAUGGGCCUAGGUGGCAAGGCCCAGCAAGUUGUCACCUUUUCCUGCUAUGUCACAAGGAACAAGCUCAUCUACAUUCCAUGGCAUGUCCUCCAAAAGUAAAGAACAAGAAAAAUAGUGCCCAAAAUCAAUUUCUAACCAUUUGAAAAAUCUUAAGGUGUGGGUACGAUCUUUUAUACAUUCUAAUUAGAAUUUUCAAGUUAGUCUUAAAGGUAGGAUGAGAACCGUAUAUACUUGAAUCAACGACCAAUUAAGAGUUAAUUAGAUUUGAUUUCAAUUAUGUUAAUGUAAGUUCGAUGUUUGAUUAAGGAUGCUAACCAUAUGUUUUUUAAUCUAGGGUGUAGGCCAACCACAACUAGGCUUCAUUUUGAUUUUUUGUCAUGUUGAGUUUGGUCUUGGUCUCGAGAAAAAUACGAAGGGUAUUUGUUUCUUCACUUAGAAGACUACACUUCAAAUCAAUGAGAAAUACUUAUAGUUUGUUGAAGUAAUUGUACUUUUAUUUUCUUCUUUUUCUCGAAAAAUGGAAAUGUGAUCCUCUAUUUACAUAAAAUUUCAACUUAAAGCUUAUUGAAGAUCAUUGCAUGCUUAUUUUCUUUUCUUUCUUAUAACCAGGUGGAUUUGGGACAGGAUGUACCCAUUUCAACCUUAUCCCGUUUAUUGAAAAUAAUUUUCAUCCUCAUCCUAUUAAAAAAAUUAAAUAAGACUUGAUGAGGUGGGAUGGGAAUGCAAAUUUUUCAUACCCAUCCCACCCUAUCCUAUUUAACUUUGUUUUGAAAUUUUUUAAAAUUUUUUUAAUUUUUUUAAUUACAUUAAAAUAAAUAUAUUUUAUAAACAAUUAAAAUAUUAUAAUUAACUUAUUUUAUUAAAAAAUAUUUAUUAUUAUUACUAUUAUGAUUAUUAUUAUUAUAUUAAAAAUAUAUUUAAAAAAAUUAAUUUUAUAUAUAAUUAGGGUGGAGCGGAGCAAGACAAGACAAUGCUCGAACCCACCCUGAACAUGUCAUCUCUAAGAUAGAUCCUCUAUUUAUAGAAAAUUUUAACUUAAAAAGCUUGUUGAAGCUUAUUUUAUACUUAUUUUCUUCUCUUUCUCAUAAAAAGAUCCUCUAUUGUUUAGAAAAAAAAUUCAAUAAAUAGAUUAUUCACUCUCACACUUGGUGUAUGUUUGGCUAAAAAAAAAUACUACGAAAAAUGUUAUUCCUAAGGUGGUUUGGUUACUGUAAAUAAUGGGUGAGGAAAAAAAUACCGAAAAUAUGGAGCUAAAUAUUUUAAUGUGUAAUUUAGUUUUCUCUUCAUAAAAAAAAUAAUAAUAAUAAAGAGAAAAAUUAGAAGAAAUAAAAAUAAAAAAUAGAUUUAUUAAAGACUUGAAUAAUAACAUGAAGAUUCACAAGAAUAUUACAAAUGCUUUGGUUAGGUUGACAAGUCCGGAUGGAAAGCCCCUCAAUGUACUCCCAACUCAGAUCCUUCAAAUCCUCUCUUGUAUUACUUGUCUAACGAAGAACUUCAAAACGUUAAAAAGUGCUUAAAUGCUAUGUAAUGAGGUAAUGGAUUGACGAAACCAUGUGGAAAACACCAUCAGCCACUGUGAGAGAUACCCAUCGUGAUUCCUCUCCCCUUCAAAGUAUAGGUGUGUUUGUUUCCCAAGAAAAUGAUGUUAAACAUAUAAUUAAUACAUUCCACGACCCUUCUGUCUGAAAAUUUAUUUAAUCUAAACUGAUGUUUGGUUCCCGUGAAAUCCAAUUUAUUAAUGUUUUCGGUCAACACAUCACAUGGUUGAUUUUGAAGCGGUGGAGUAAAUGAAAUUCUUGACAUCAUUAUACAAAGCUUCAGCCUGUGAGGGAUCAAAGAUCUCCACGCCAUGGUGACCGCCAUCAUUGAAUUUAGCCACCACGUGCACCCCACGCGCCUCCAUCAUCUCCGCAAACCUCCUCUGUCUGUCAACCAGUGGAUCCCCACCGUACCCUCUCACCAGACACUUCUGCAGCCGUCCGAUCUUCUCCUGGUGGGACUGGGACCCUCCCGCCAUUGGAUUACUAUACUCAUGAUCACGAUCAGCGCCGUUGGGCAAUGCAAGUGCCCAUAGCAGAUCGUUCGCCGGCAACGGCACGAUCCGAUCGUCCGCCAGUCUCAGUUCCGAUUCGGUCCUCUCCACCCCACCGAAGUAGGGCUGAUUCAGUACCAGCCCUUGGAUCUUCAUCGCCCCAAGAUCAGCAUCAAGUGCACGCACACCUGCGUGGAACACGAUGUUUGCUCCUGCACUGCCCCCCAUCAAAAAGCACUUGGAAAAAUCAGCGUACUCUCUCAGCCACGGCUCACCACCGUCGAUCUCCGCAGCCGCCUGGCUCCGGACCCACAUGAUGGCUUCGAAGGCGUCCUCGUAGGCAGCCGGGAGACGGUGCUCCGGCGCGAGACGGUACUCGAGGGACAGGACCAGAGCUGGAAGCUUAGCUGCCAUGGAGUUGCAAGAUUUGUGGAAAGGCAGAUUAGAGACGCUGAAGAGAACGAACCCACCUCCAUGAAAGUACAAGAUGACGGGAAGCUUGGUGUUUGGAGGAAGAAGACUAGGCCGGUAGAUGCGGAGAAAGGUGUUGUUGGCGGGGUUGAGGGGCACGUCUUUGGAAAAAGCCACAGCGGUGUCGGUGGCGGCGGUGGUUUCAUCAGUAGCGGGUACAGAGGGAAAUGGGCUACUGCGAGUGAGAGAGCCAUCUGGGUUAGGGACGAGGCCGAGGGACUUAUAAGCGUCCAUGGAAGAUG